GCUGAGGUUCUUCACAGGGAGGGAGAGAAGAAGAAUGGAGAUGUCACCUGGCCAGAGAAUGUAACACAAUCUGUUAUGCAACCAGACUUUUCAAGUGCGGUAUUCUGAGGUGUCUGAACAUCACUCAGGGAGACAUCAAAAUUAUUUUAGAAAGCUACCCAGGAGAACACCUGCAAUCUGUGGGAAGAAGGAACACCUGUUCCACUCUGAUUACCAAGAACAGAAGUCAGCAUCUCUUGGUGUGAAACAACCCUUUCUUCAGAUCAAAAGCAAAGCAGA
rnacentral:lncRNA from 12 species